rnacentral:rRNA from 1 species
CCCUUAGAUGUUCUGGGCCGCACGCGCGCUACACUGACGAUGGCAACGAGUUUUUCCUUCGCCGAAAGGUGUGGGUAAUCUUUUGAAACAUCGUCGUGCUGGGGAUAGAUCAUUGCAAUUUUUGAUCUUGAACGAGGAAUUCCUAGUAAGCGCGAGUCAUCAGCUCGCGUUGAUUACGUCCCUGCCCUUUGUACACACCGCCCGUCGCUACUACCGAUUGAAUGGUUUAGUGAGGACUCCUGAUUGGCGCCGCCGCCCCGGCAACGGAGCAGCGGAAUGCCGAAAAGUUGUUCAAACUUGAUCAUUUAGAGGAAGUAAAAGUCGUAACA